rnacentral:rRNA from 1 species
GGUUCGAUUCUGGCUCAGAUUGAACGCUGGCGGAUGCUUUACACAUGCAAGUCGAACGGCAGCACGGACUUCGGUCUGGUGGCGAGUGGCGAACGGGUGAGUAAUGUAUCGGAACGUGCCUAGUAGCGGGGGAUAACUACGCGAAAGCGUAGCUAAUACCGCAUACGCCCUUCGGGGAAAGCGGGGGGACCGGGCUCCCGACUAUUAGAGCGGCCGAUAUCGGAUUAGCUAGUUGGUGGGGUGAAUGGCUCAUCGGCAGCGACGAUCCGUAGCUGGUUUGAGAGGACGGACCAGCCACACUGGGACCGAGACACGGCCCAGACCCCUACGGGAGGCAGCAGUGGGGAAUUUUGGAUAAUGGGGAAACCCUGAUCCAGCCAUCCUGCGCAGGCAUGAAGGCCUUCGGGUUGUAAAGCACUUUUGGCAGGAAGAAACGGCAUCGAUAAUACCCGUGCAACUGACGGUACCUGCAGAAUAAGCACCGGCCAACUACGCAGCCAGCAGCCGCGGUAAUACGUAGGCAAGCGUUAAUCGGAAUUACUGGGCGGAAGCGUGCGCAGGCGGUUCGGAAAGAAGAUGUGAAAUCCCAGAGCUUAACUUUGGAACUGCAUUUUUAACUACCGAGCUGAGUGUGUUUAUGGGAGGUGGAAUUCGCGUGUAGCAGGAAUGCGUAGAUAUGCGUGGAGGAACACCGAUGGCGAAGGCAGCCUCCUGGGAGAACACUGACGGCUCAUGCACGAAAGGUAGAGUAAACAGAGAUUAGAUACUCCUGUAGUCCACGCCUGAAACGAUGCUCAAUCAGCUGUUGGGGCCUUCGGGCCUUGGUAGCGCAGCUAACGCGUGAAGUUGACCGCCUGGGGAGUACGGUCGCAAGAUUAAAACUCAAAGGAAUUGACGGGGACCCGCACAGCGUGGAUGAUGUGGAUUAAUUCGAUGCAACGCGAAAAACCUUACCUACCUGACAAACUUAAUCCUGAAGAGAUUUGGGAGUGCUCAAAGAGAACCAACACAGGUGCUGUACGGCUGUCGUCAGCUCGUGUCGUGAGAUGUUGGGUUAAGUCCCGCAACGAGCGCAAACCUUACGGCUUAGCAUGAAAGGGCACUCUAAUGAGACUGCCGGUGACAAACCGGAGGAAGGUGGGGAUGACGUCAAGUCCUCAUGGCCCUUAUGGGUAGGGCUUCGUGACAGUUGGUACAAUGGUCGGGACAGAGGGUCGCCAACCCGCGAGGGGAGCCAAUCCCAGAAACCCGAUCGUAGUCCGGAUCGCAGUCUGCAACUCGACUGCGUGAAGUCGGAAUCGCGAAAUUCGACCAGCACAUUGUGGUGAACACAGUUCUGGCCUGUACACACCGCCCGUCACACCAUGGGAGGUUUUACCAGAAGUAGUUAGGUCAACCGUAAGGAGGGCGAUUACCACGGUAGGAUUCAUGACUGGGGUGAAGUCGUAAUGGCAGC